rnacentral:lncRNA from 1 species
UGUACUUCUUCUUGGCUCGCAAGCCCCACACGGAGGCUGAGUAAACACGCUAGUGAUGGUAGGUGUGUGCAGUUCGCCCCCGUGGUUGCCAGUUAAGUUUGGUGAAUUCGAGAUUUUGUUAAAAUGGUUUGUGCUAGAAGCUAUGUGGGCUUUGUUUUAUUGUAGUGUUAACUACAAAACUAGUUAGAUUUUGACAAACUGGUGUGUUUUUGGGUUCGCUUGCCCCCUUCAUGUACUUGAUAUAUCAUGACUCUGAUUUAGUAAUAGAAGGGCUUCAAAACUGCAACAAAAAUGUCCAACUAAAUUAUUGUCAAUUAUAUUCGGGCAGAGAUAUGAAUAUAGGCAAAUAGUGUCAAACUCUAUGAAGUUUGGCUUGAUUCUCGUUUUUUCCAUGACCUUAAAAUUUCGCGUAUAAAUCAAUGACAUUGGGUUCGAUUUUUAAUUUUCCCAUAAAAUGAAAAUUCCCUCAAAAUAAUGCUUACAUGGCAAUUGGAAAAUACACGUAAGCUAUGUUGUCUUGCGACAAAAAUGACUCUGUUUCAUUAAGCAUCGUCGUUUUCUUUUUGUUUUGGGGAUUAAAUCAGAAUUAAAACAUUGUCCCUCUUCAAAUUAGGAUUCGUCAAGAGUUUCAUCCCCAAAGCUCUCGUUUUCGAUUCUGAACCAUUGCCAUGUAAGACCUACAUUCUCAAUCUUGAGACGAACAAAGAGCUAUGAUGCUGCCCUCAAGGACUUGGAAGCAAGCAAACAGGGGCUUGAAGGAGAAAUUUGUAAGGUUGGGGAAGAAAAUCGAAGCCUGAGUGAAGCAAACUUAUCUCGAGAGUGAAAUCCUUACCUUGAGGGAGAUCAAGGAGAGGAAGUUUCACGCCACACGAACCUAUGUAGUUCCAUUGAGCAGGAGAUAGCACGUCUGAAAGAGGAAAUCAAAGGGCUACAGGGCUUUAGUCGAACAAGUUGAAGCAGCAUGUCUCAGCCAAAAGAAUGAGAACUCAAUACUGAGAGAGAUGAAUGAAAUGAAGAGGACUCAAUUCAGAUGGAAAUCGACCACGUUUUACCCUUAAUUAAUCUACUCAGCAUUACGUUACACAUCAUCAAAUUAAUAGCUAGAAAACGUCAUUAAGGGAAAAUUAAUAAUCGGAGCCACAGUUAUGAAUUUAUACACGAAAUUUUAAGGUUAUGGGAAAAACAAAUGGGGCCAAACUUCAUGAAUUUUGACGCUAUAUAAUAGUCCCUCUCUCUCACACACACGCACAACGUUUUGCGGGAUCAUCAUCUGUAUGACAAUCAACAGAGAAAAUUUGUAAAGCAAAGAUGAUGAAUCCAAAUGUAAUCUGAUUGACAGACUAGGAGACGACGGUAUAAAUAAUGAAGUUGAUAGUAUCAGCGUGAGGCAUGAUGAUGAGAUCCUCAGCGUGGGCGUUGGGUGCGGGUGCGGCGUCGUGGCGGGAUGGAGGGUGGUAGUACAUCCGGGCAGUCUGCGGGUAGUGAGAUUGAAAUCUGGAAGCAAGCCUGAAGCCUAAAUCCAGAAGCUCCGUAUACUUCCCCAUUCCUUCUGCCCUCUGAUAUCUUCUUUCUCGGCAAAGGGAAAAGGGAAAUACUUAACAAAUUUCUCUCAAAUGUGCAAACUUUUGGAGGCCAUUUGCUUAUAACAAUGGGAGACGAGAGGAAAGGAGAAUUUUAAGGCUCCAAUUGCGUGUUGCUUGCAACGUUGGAUAGUUUUUCAGUCUGUUUCUUUGUUUUAUAUUUUACGCUUUGUAUUUGUAAUGACAAGUAUUUGUAUUCAUGUUUGUAAUUAUCUAUAUAUUUUCAAUAUGUUAUACACAUUAUCAGAAGUUUCCAAAUUGUUUAGUAAAG